rnacentral:rRNA from 1 species
UACGUAGGAGGCAAGCGUUGUCCGGAAUUACUGGGUGUAAAGCGCGUGUAGGCGGCAGGCCAAGUCUGUGGUGAAAUCGCUCGGCUCAACUGGGCGGGGUCCAUGGAAACUGGUCAGCUGGAGGACGGUAGAGGUGAGUGGAAUUCCCGGUGUAGUGGUGAAAUGCGUAGAGAUCGGGAGGAACACCCGUGGCGAAGGCGGCUCACUGGGCCGGUCCUGACGCUGAGACGCGAAAGCGUGGGGAGCAAACAGG